AACGAACGCUGGCGGCAGGCUUAACACAUGCAAGUCGAACGCACCUUUCGGGGUGAGUGGCAGACGGGUGAGUAACGCGCGGGAAUCUACCCUUCUCUACGGGAUAGCUCCGGGAAACUGGAAUUAAUACCGUAUACGUCCUGAGGGAGAAAGAUUUAUCGGGGAAGGAUGAGCCCGCGUUGGAUUAGCUAGUUGGUGGGGUAAAGGCCUACCAAGGCGACGAUCCAUAGCUGGUCUAAGAGGAUGAUCAGCCACAUUGGGACUGAGACACGGCCCAAACUCCUACGGGAGGCAGCAGUGGGGAAUAUUGGACAAUGGGCGCAAGCCUGAUCCAGCCAUGCCGCGUGAGUGAUGAAGGCCCUAGGGUUGUAAAGCUCUUUCAGUGGGGACGAUAAUGACGGUACCCACAGAAGAAGCCCCGGCUAACUUCGUG
rnacentral:rRNA from 1 species